CCUACGGGAGGCAGCAGUGAGGAAUAUUGGUCAAUGGACGAGAGUCUGAACCAGCCAAGUAGCGUGAAGGAUGACUGCCCUAUGGGUUGUAAACUUCUUUUAUAUGGGAAUAAAACGUUCCACGUGUGGGAUUUUGUAUGUACCAUAUGAAUAAGGAUCGGCUAACUCCGUGCCAGCAGCCGCGGUAAUACGGAGGAUCCGAGCGUUAUCCGGAGUUAUUGGGUUUAAAGGGAGCGUAGGUGGAUUGUUAAGUCAGUUGUGAAAGUUUGCGGCUCAACCGUAAAAUUGCAGUUGAAACUGGCAGUCUUGAGUACAGUAGAGGUGUGCGGAAUUCGUGGUGUAGCGGUGAAAUGCUUAGAUAUCACGAAGAACUCCGAUUGCGAAGGCAGUUCACUGGACUGCAACUGACACUGAGGCUCGAAAGUGUGGGUAUCAAACAGGAUUAGAUACCCUGGUAGUC
rnacentral:rRNA from 1 species